rnacentral:rRNA from 1 species
UGAUACUAAGCCAUGCGAGUCAUUGUAGCAAUACAAGGCAUACGGCUCAGUAACGCGUAGUCAACCUAACCUAUGGACGGGAAUAACCUCGGGAAACUGAGAAUAAUGCCCGAUAGAACAUUAUGCCUGGAAUGGUUUAUGUUCCAAAUGAUUUAUCGCCGUAGGAUGGGACUGCGGCCUAUCAGUUUGUUGGUGAGGUAAUGGCCCACCAAGACUAUUACAGGUACGGGCUCUGAGAGGAGUAGCCCGGAGAUGGGUACUGAGACACGGACCCAGGCCCUAUGGGGCGCAGCAGGCGAGAAAACUUUGCAAUGUGCGAAAGCACGACAAGGUUAAUCCGAGUGGUUUCUGCUAAAGGAACCUUUUGUCAGUCCUAGAAACACUGAUGAAUAAGGGGUGGGCAAGUUCUGGUGUCAGCCGCCGCGGUAAAGCCAGCACCUCAAGUGGUCAGGAUGAUUAUUGGGCCUAAAGCAUCCGUAGCCGGCUCUGUAAGUUUUCGGUUAAAUCUGUACGCUCAACGUACAGGCUGCCGGGAAUACUGCAAAGCUAGGGAGUGGGAGAGGUAGACGGUACUCGGUAGGAAGGGGUAAAAUCCUUUGAUCUAUUGAUGACCACCUGUGGCGAAGGCGGUCUACCAGAACACGUCCGACGGUGAGGGAUGAAAGCUGGGGGAGCAAACCGGGUUAGAUACCCGGGUAGUCCCAGCUGUAAACCAUGCAAACUCAGUGAUGCAUUGGCUUGUGGCCAAUGCAGUGCUGCAGGGAAGCCGUUAAGUUUGCCGCCUGGGAAGUACGUACGCAAGUAUGAAACUUAAAGGAAUUGGCGGGGGAGCACCACAAGGGGUGAAGCCUGCGGUUCAAUUGG